CGGGCGGGGUUGCUUACCUGCAGUCGAACGGAGAUUCAGCUUUGGAUCUUAGUGGCAAAAGGGUGAGUAACGCGUAGGCAAUCUGCCUUCUAGAUGGGGACAACAUCCCGAAAGGGGUGCUAAUACCGAAUGUUGUACCGUUUCCGCAUGGAGAUGAUACUAAAGGUGGCCUCUGAAUAUGCUACCGCUAGAAGAUGAGCCUGCGUCUGAUUAGCUAGUUGGAGGGGUAACGGCCCACCAAGGCUUCGAUCAGUAGCCGGUCUGAGAGGAUGAACGGCCACACUGGGACUGAGACACGGCCCAGACUCCUACGGGAGGCAGCAGUGGGGAAUCUUCCGCAAUGGACGAAAGUCUGACGGAGCAACGCCGCGUGAGUGAAGAAGGUUUUCGGAUCGUAAAGCUCUUUCGUUAGGGACGAACGUGCUCUUUGUGAAUAAUGAGGAGUAAUGACGGUACCUAAAUAAGAAGCCACGGCUAACUACGUGCCAGCAGCCGCGGUAAUACGUAGGUGGCAAGCGUUGUCCGGAAUUAUUGGGCGUAAAGCGCGCGCAGGCGGGAUAUCAAGUCUGUCUUAAAAGUGCGAGGCUCAACCUCGUGAGGGGACGGAAACUGGUAUUCUUGAGUGUCGGAGAGGAAAGUGGAAUUCCAAGUGUAGCGGUGAAAUGCGUAGAGAUUUGGAAGACACCAGUGGCGAAAGCGACUUUCUGGACGAUGUCUGACGCUGAGGCGCGAAAGCUAGGGGAGCGAACGGGAUUAGAUACCCCGGUAGUCCUAGCCGUAAACGAUGGGUACUAGGUGUAGGGGUAUCGACCCCUCCUGU
rnacentral:rRNA from 1 species